UAUUGAACACACCUGGGCUGAAUCAUGCACACAAACACACCUAGAGAGUUUACUACAUUCUAGUUUUAGUCCUCCUGACUUUACCGAACCUUGAUUGUUUAUUGAUUGCCUGAAUUCCACAUUGUCUGUUUUAUAUUUUGGAGUUGUCUACUUUGGAUUUUACAUAAACUGUUCACCCCUAUUAUAUCUGAGCUUGUUUUCAUCAACUGGAGGCUUAUACAAGACCCACCUGCUCCAGCCAAGCCUGCAUCUCCAAAGCUACUAGUUCAUCGUGAUGCCCUGCACCUUUCCUCUCUGCCACGUCCUUCCCUAUCCGUCGCUUCAUCCAAUGACUCGGGUCUUGAUUGCACAUCUGGAACCUGCAGCUUUCCCACAGAUGGCUGUGGCGCGUCACGGAGAGCACGUAGAGGUCUGCAGGGACGAGUACACGCCGGAUUCGGUACUUCCACGUAUCAUCUCUUUGUGGCCGAGAUCGCUCUCUGGAGUGUUGAGGAAGAGGAUUACGCGUCUGUCAAUUAUCCUGCAGUCAGCGGCGUACGCAAAUCUCGACCAUGGAUCGGGCUUACUGAGCACGCUCAGAACAUGCACUCGUUCCUGUAUCUGAUCGCUCAUCAGCAGAGGAAGUGUAGCAAAUCAGGACAUGAGAUGAGGCGUUCGGAGGGGGGACAAAAGAUGGGGUAGAACUACGAGACCUUUACCUGAGUGCAGUGUUUGAGUUGAGUCAAGUCUUAUUGGGGGGGUUCCCAGUUGUUGUGUAAUUCAUAUACUGUUUACUAAAAUAAUCUUGGGGACCCCCCCAUGACAAGUACAAAAAAUAGACUUUAUUUAUUUUAGUAAACAGUAUAUGAAUUAAACAACAACUGGGGACCCCACCAAAUAAGACUUGACUCAACUAAUGUCUUAUGCCUCGGGAGUCCUGAAUCCCCCCAGCCCCCCCUCCUCAAUUCGAGCACUGACUGAGUGAAUGGAAAAAAUUAUAUAUUAACUGAAUUAUAUUUUAUGUGUGAGUCUAUGGACUAAAUGUGUGUUAAUUUGUGUACAGUGUGUGUCUGUGUAUACACAGUAAGUUUGUGGGCAUGCAGUAAAUAUGUGUAUAAAUAUACUGUAUAUACACUGUUUGUACAUAUACUGCCACUGUGUUUGUGUAUAUUUUUUGUGUAUAUACUGUAAUUGUGUAGAAGUGUGUACAGAGUUAGUGUGUAUACAAAAGAGAGAGAUUGUGUGUAUAAAAAUGGGAUCAGAGAGUUUGGUCCUGAACAUUAAAACAGUCCUGUGUAAUGUGAGAGAAAAGGCCAGUGCGCGAUAAAAAAACAUCCAUUCUACGGGAUUCAUGAAUUUCAAUCAAGCGUUUGAUGAAUGUAAUCAUGGAGGUAAUUGAUCUAGCAAAGCCGGCCCUUUCUGCCUGAUGAUUGUGGGUCAUUGAGAGCAAGCUGUUCAGCCUCCUGAGUGGAUAGCGCUAGGACGGGGUGGGGGACUGUGCCAACAUUACUGAACACUAAUAUACUCACUCUCAAACACUGACACUUCGCUCUCUCAGGCGCUCUCCCAGUGCUAGUAUUCCCACCGUUUCACCCUUCUCUGGGUUUCUCUCGCUUGGUUCUGAUUGGAACGCUUCGAGACCGAUCUCAAUGGGAAAGAAUAAUCAAGGUUUGUGCUAUUUAAAAUAUAUAUGAUGGGUAUCUCAGGGAAUUUCAUAGGGACUUCUAGACCUUUCCAUCCUUAAACUGAUUAACACCCCCAUUUCCAUCAAUGGAGUAUCGAGUACAUGAGCUAUGGAGCUUAACCAGACUGACCUUGGUCACCUCUCCUAUUGAGGCCAUGAUGGCUCGGUUUUAUAUUCAUUAUAUUAUAUGUUCCAAACUUCUUCUGGAGAACCAUUAUCGAGGUCACUUCACUAGGGCAGUGUGGAUAAUGGUUAAGGCUCUGAGUUGCUGAUGAUAAGGUCAGGGGGUCAAGCCCCAGCAUGGCCAAGCUCCCACUGUUGGGGCCCUUGAGCAAGGCACUUAACCUUUUAUGCUCCAGGGGCGCUGUUUCAUCGGUAACCCCAGCUUCCUGACAAGCUGGUAUAUGCAAAAAUUGGGGAGGUGGUUGCUCAGUGGUUUAAGCUUUGCGUUACUGAUUGGACAAUCAAGGGUUCAAGCACAGGUAUCGCCAAGCGACCACUUUUGGUGCCCUUCAGCAAUGCCCUCCACUGUAUUAUAGCUGACCUCAGGUUCCUAAUAUCUCUGGAAUGUGCAAAUAAAAUGUCACUGUGUUGUAAAGUAUAAAAAAUAAAAUAAAGUACAACAGAGAAUUGUCUAGCCUUCUCAGA